rnacentral:misc_RNA from 1 species
GAUGAAGAACGCAGUGAAAUGCGAUAAGUAAUGUGAAUUGCAGAAUUCAGUGAAUCAUCGAAUCUUUGAACGCACCUUGCGCCCUUUGGCUAUUCCGAAGGGCAUGCCUGUUUGAGUAUCAUGAACACCUCAACUCUCAUGGUUUGCCAUGAUGAGCUUGGACUCUGGGGGUCUUGCUGGCCUAUGGUCAGCUCCUCUCAAAUAAAUCAGCUUGCCAGUGUUUGGUGGCAUCACAGGUGUGAUAACUAUCUACGCUUGUGGUUUUCCAUCAGGUAACCUUCAGUGAUGGAGGUUCGCUGGAGCUCAUAAAUGUCCCUCCUCAGCGAGGACAGCUUUUUGAACGUUUGAUCUCAAAUCAGGUAGGACUACCCGCUGAACUUAAGCAUAUCAAUAAGCGGAGGA